UACGUAGGGUGCAAGCGUUGUCCGGAAUUAUUGGGCGUAAAGAGCUCGUAGGCGGUUCGUCGCGUCGGCUGUGAAAACCUGAGGCUCAACCUCAGGCCUGCAGUCGAUACGGGCGGACUUGAGUACUGCAGGGGAGACUGGAAGUUCCUGGUGUAGCGGUGGAAAUGACGCAGAUAUCAGGAGGAACACCGGUGGCGAAGGCGGGUCUCUGGGCCGUUACUGACGCUGAGGAGCGAAAGCGUGGGGAGCGAACAGG
rnacentral:rRNA from 1 species